rnacentral:rRNA from 1 species
CAACCUCAGAUCAAGUAGGAUUACCCGCUGAACUUAAGCAUAUCAAUAAGCGGAGGAAGAAUCAUUAAGAAUGGAUCGAACUAGACUUUUGAAAAGGGACGCUUGGGGCCGAGAGCGAGUGUUGCGAGACAACAAAAAGCUCGACCUCAAAUCAGGUAGGAAUA